UACAGAGGGUGCGAGCGUUAAUCGGAAUUACUGGGCGUAAAGCGUGCGUAGACGGUUAUUUAAGUCGGGUGUGAAAGCCCCGGGCUCAACCUGGGAAUUGCAUUCGAGACUGAAUAGCUAGGGUACGGUAGAGGGAAGUGGAAUUUCCGGUGUAGCGGUGAAAUGCGUAGAUAUCGGAAGGAACAUCAGUGGCGAAAGCGGCAUCCUGGACCGGCAUUGACGCUGAGGAGCGAAAGCCAGGGGAGCAAAGCGGG
rnacentral:rRNA from 1 species